UGUUGCAAAUCAAGUCUAGAGUGAUUUACUGUCCUAUGCAAUUACAUUUUAUUUCUCUUGCAAGUUUCAUAGCAUUUAUGUGUGUUUUACAGAUUUAACAAUGGGAUAUAAAUUGACUUUUUUAAUCCUUGGACUUUGCCUGAUUGCACAUUUUGAUGCGGCAUUAGGUGUAAAAAGAGACCUGUCUUGUGGCUGCAUGCCAGAGGAGGAGUGUACCAAUGGAUAUGACUUCAUGCCAGAUGAACAUAAAACAGCUGAUUGCGAAGAUGGGACAAUAUAUUGUUGUAAGAGCCAAGAAAGACAAAAAUAAGGACUCCUGGCACGAUACAAUACAUAUAGAAAGAACAGAUAAACUGCGACUGUAAAUUAAUUUGUGACAAGAAAUGUAAAAUAAACGAAUAUAUCCAUUA